rnacentral:lncRNA from 15 species
AUACCAAAUCACAAUAUUUCUCUGGUGUUUCCCAAGGUCUUGGUGUCUUAAUGAGGCAUUUUGAAGUGAACCUUUUUUAUCCAUUUUCAGCUGGUCGAAAAUGGUUACAUUUGUCAUGUCCAUCGUAUACUUAUAUCAUAAUAUGCUAAAGUUUUAUACACUCUAAACUUGAAUUGGUGACUGGACAAUGUUUAUUACAUAUUUAUGAAUAAGAAUUAAUCUUCAGGUUCCCAACUUUUACAUUAUAUAUACCAUUUCUGUGUGGAAUACUGUUGACCUGCUAUCUCUACCUAAAAAAAAAACCUAAAAUGUUCAGUUAUUCAACUAUAUAGAGGGGUGGAGUUGAAUGUUAAAGAACUGAGCUGGUAAGUUGGCAACUUAUUUAAAAUAUAUUUUAAAAUAUAUACAUCAGAUCAGAUAUACAUCAGUCUCAAACCUCAAACUAUUGUUUUCCUUCCAAUAGGCCAAGCCAAACAUCUCCAAAGGUCCUGAAAUUGAGUCGUGACAUUAUUGUCUCAAUUCAGCAUUGUCCUCCUUCAGCGUGGACCUGUUUCUGCAUUCAGUCAUAACGUUUAUGACAGAGAGUGAGAGAGAGACUGACAACACUCAUAGACAAGAGAGGGGCAUGUAAAGUAUGGACUGAAGAGAGCCAACGACUACCACGUUCACCAUGCCACUGCACAUGCAACAAAAGUCCUGUCCUGGGAUCCUGAUCUGCAAUAACUCAUUCCACCGAACCUGGCGGGAUCCUCAAUGUUCACAUACUGCUCCCUUGCCUCAACAACUACAGGAAGACAUCACCGAGGGAACAUCUUGACAGCUUGUUUAUCUAUUAAGGUCACUUUUAUGCCGAUGAACUGUGGGAGGAAGUCAGGGCAACCCUGGUAAUUCUAUUCAAGCACAUUCAUUUCAUUACUCUCAAACAUCCAGCUGAGCUGUAAGUAUCAUACUGAGGACUGAUGUAUUUUUAUUUUAUUUAUUUAAAAUUAUUAAUUAUAUUAUUAUAUUAAAACACUGUCACAUUUCAUGGCAAAACCUUAGUUUUUGUGUGCCAUUUCAAGGGAAUUUAUACAGAAUAAAGUAGUAUUUUAUAUUAGAUACUGUUAAUUGUACAGUAUAACACUAAUAUUUCAUGCUAAAACCUUUAUUUUAUGGUUAUUCAUAUGGUACUUUUAUGUCAUAUAUUGCAAAACAGUGUUUCUUUUGAUGGAAAAAAACUUGUUUUACACGGUAAAAUGUGGAAUAAAGUGCCGACAUUACUGUAAUAGUAGAAAAAGUUCCACUGUAUUUAUUACAGUGAAAUUCUGGCAACCACAGCUGCCAGUUUUUUACCGUUGAAACAACUAUUAUUUCCCCUAAAGUAUACGGUGAAACACAGUCAUAUUUAAUGGAAAACCUUUAUUUAUAU